CCUACGGGUGACAGCAGUGAGGAAUAUUGGUCAAUGUACGAGAGUCUGAUCCAGCCAAGUAGCGUGAAGGAUGACUGCCCUAUGGGUUGUAAACUUCUUUUAUAAAGGAAUAAAACGAGGCACGUGUGCCUUUUUGCAUGUACGUUAUGAAUAAGGAUAGGUUAACUUCGUGCUAGCAGCCGCGGCAAUACGGAGGAUCCGAGCGUUAUCCGGGUUUAUUGGGUUUAAAGGGAGCGUAGAUGGGUUGUUAAGUCAGUUGUGAAAGUUUGCGGCUCAACCGUAAAAUUGCAAUUGAUACUGGCAGUCUUGAGUAAAGUUGAGGUAGGCGGAAUUCGUGGUGUAGCGGUGAAAUGCUUAGAUAUAACGAAGAACCCCGAUUGCGAAGGCAGCUUACUAAACUGUGACUGACAUUGAUGCUCGAAAGUGUGGGUAUCAAACAGGAUGAGAUACCCCUGUAGUC
rnacentral:rRNA from 1 species